ACCCCCAUGGACCUAGCUGAGGACAGGCCCUCUUGCCUUCCACUUAAAUUUUGCAUUUCCCAAGACCACCUUGGCCCGCCAUUCCCCCGUCCUGUGCCUGUAAAAACUCCAGGCCCUAGAAGGCACACACGCACAAGUGGCUGGACUUCGUGAGGAAUUCAUAGGGGAAGAAGAUGCAAGUGGCUGGUCAUGGAGAGGACUUUUUGACGAGCGCCGGCAAAAGAGCACAGCGAAGAAAUCCCAGGAUUCGGAAAGCCCUCUGUACUCGCAACAAGAGUCUCACUGUGUCAGCCAGGCUGGAGUGGCAUGAUCUCGGCUCACUGCAACCUCCGUCUCCUGGGCUCAAGCAAUUCUCCUGCCUCAGCCUCCGGAGUAGCUGGGAUUACAGGAUGACCCAGUAAGAAGGUUCUCAUCAGUGGCUGACCAGAUGCCAGAAACAUGCCAUUGGAGUGCCCAGCCUUCAGAACAGUUGCUGACCGGAAGGUGAAUUGUUUGGCAAGGUCAAUAAGUGAACAAAUGAAUCAGCAAUAGCUAAAUCUUAGAACAGAGCCUCCUGAUACAGUACCUUAUGCAAUCAUGCUGUCUUCAAUCAUUUGCAACCAUUUAUUGACUACCCACAAUCUUCUUGAAAUCAUUUAUGGAUCUGGGGAAAUAGAUGGGCUCAUAGGCAGAAGGAACUUGCCUUGUCUCAGAUGAGACUUUGGACUUGGUCUUUUGAGUUGAUGCUGGAAUGAGUUAAGACCCCAGUUGUGGUGCAGUCAGACACAUAAACCUCAUGGAGAAUCCCUAUGUAAGUGCUCCAGUUCACUGCCAGCUGUGUGAAACUGUCUUGAAUAUCCAGGUGAAGCCAAGUCUUCAGAUGACUCAAAUCCCAACCACCAUUUGUCUGACUGCAACUGCAGGAGAGAUCCCAAGGAAGAUCACAGUUGAGCCUGACCCAAAGCCAACCCAAAUAUCUAAACCCAUGCAGAGACCCUGACUGAAGCAACCAAUUGAAUAGAGCAGCACUGUGGAAACUGUAAGUUAACGCACUGCUCCAGCACAGGAAGAGAUUUGCUUCAGAAUUGCAAAUCUGCUUGUGAGUGUACCCUUCUUUAAAUCAUAUCUGUAAUUGAUAUAAAUCAGUGGUUUAAAUGUUCAACUGAACACAUCUCUGGCCACAGAACAGAGUAACUUCUGGGGAUUUAUCUCUAUAUUCAGAUGUGGAAACCUAAAUUUACAAGUACACCAGCAUCUGCUUAGCAAAAGUUACUUAGUGUAACCCACAUAAAUUCUGACAAUGCAUAUACAGUGGCGAGGCUAAAAGGUUUCAAGGGUGUGAUGGACACCAAAAAGUACUAGAAGCCUGUACUGAAGAAACAUGGUAAUUAAGUUUGUAUCUUUGUCCCUUCCCAAAUCACAUGUUGAAAUGUAAUCUCCGUUGUUGGAGGUGAUGCCUGGUGGGAGGUGACGGGAUCAUAGAGGAGUAUUCCUCGUGAAUGGUUUAGCACAAUCCCCUUGGUGCUAAUCUUGUAAUAGCAAAUGAGUUCUCAUGAGAUCUGAUCAUUUAUAAAUGUGUGCCGCUUCCUCCCCACUGCUGUCUCUCUCUUAUAAAUUAUCCAGUCUAAGGUAUUUAUUUAUAGCAAUACAAAAACAGUUUAAUACACAUGGGACAGGUAAAAGUGGUAAUUCUCUCAUGAGUAGUGUAAGCAGUAAACAGUCUUUAGAACUAACUCCAGAUGGUCUUAGAUAUGGUGGAUGGUGCAUAUAGGUACAUUGAUAUUCCACCUCAGAUUUCAGCUUAUGACAGCUAGAAAAAGGUGUCAACAUAUUUGAUGUACCACAAAGAAUCAGAGGGAAUUACUUUAAGAAAAAGAAUGCGAAUUGGUCAUCUUUUUCUAAGUCCUAUUUGUUUCUAUAUCUUCCUCAAGUUUCCACAGCCAGAAUUAACAGGAGUUAACCUGAUGGCAUUGAGAAGUAGAGAGAGAAGGUGCCUUCCCUUGACGUCUUGGCACCUGGUGUCAAUGUGCCAUCUGAUAUGGUUUGGGUCUGUGUCCCCACUCAAAUCUCAUGUUAAAUUGUAAUCCCCAAUAUUGGAGGUGGGAUCUGGUAGGAGGUGAUUGGAUCAUGGGAGCAGAUUUCCUCCUUUGGUGCUAUUCUCAUGACACAUUCUCAUGAAAUCUGGUUGUUUAAAACUAUGUAGCAAUCUCCCCUCUUACUCCUUCUCUGGUCAUGUAAGACAUGCUCACUCUCCUUUUGCUUUCUGCCAAGAUUUUGAGUUUCCUGAGGCCUCCCCAAGAGCAGAUCUUGCCAUGCUUCCUGUUCAACCUAUGGAACUGUGAGCCAAUUAAUCCUCUUUUCUUUAUAAAUUACCCAUUCUCAGGUAUUUCUUAUAGCAGUGUGAGAAUGGACUCAUACUGAAAAUUGGAAUCAAGGAAUGAGGCAUUCCUAUAAAGGUGCCUGAAAAUGUGACAGCAACUUUUGAAGUGGGUAACAGGCAUAUGUUGAAAGAGUGUGGAGGACUCAGAAGAAGACAGGAAGAUGAGGAAAAAUUUGAACCUUCCUAGAGACUUGUUAAGUUGUUGUGACCAAAAUGCUGAUAGUGAUAUGGACAGUGAAAGCCAAGCUGAGAAGGUAUCAGAUGAAAAUGGAGAAGUUAUUGAGAACCAUAGCAAAGGUCACUUUUGUUAUUCAUUAGCCAAGAACUUGGCAGCAUUGUGCUCCUACUCUAUGGAUAUGUGGAACUUUGAACUUGAGAGUAAUAAUUUAGGGUAUCUGGUGGAAGAAGUUUCUAAGCAGGCAAGCAUUCAAGAUGUUUCCUUGUUGCUUCUAGCAACCUAUUCUCAUAUGCAUGAACAAAGAAAUGACCUGAAACUUAUAUUUAAAAGGGAAGCAGAGUAAAAAAGGAUAGAAUAUUUGUAGCCUGGCCAUUUGGUAGAAAAUGAAAGGCCAUGUUUGCCAGGAAAGGGAAUUCAAGCUGGCUGAAGUAGUUUGCUUAAGUAAAUAGGACCAUGAUGCUGAUAGCCAAGACAAUGGGAAAAAGGCCUCAAAGGCACUUCAGAGACCUUUGAGGUAGCCCCUCCCAUCACAGGCCCAGAGGCCUAGGGGGAAGAAAUGGUUUCAUGGGCCAGGACCAGGGCCCUACUUCCCUGUGCAGCCUCAGACACUGCUCAUCACAUCCUAGCUGCUCCAUCUCCAGUCCUGAUUAAAAGGUGCCCAGGUACAGCUCAGGCUAGUGCUUCAGAAGGUGCAAGCCAUAAGGCUGGGCAAUUUCUGCUUGGUGUUAAGCCUGAGGGUGCUCAGAGUGAAAAAGUUGAAGCUUGAGAGCCUCUGCCUGGAUUUCAGAGGGCGAAUGGAAAAGCCUGGAUGUUCAGGCAGAAGCCUGCUGCAGGGGUGGAGUCCCCAUGGAGAACCUCUACUAGGCCAGUGCAGAGGGAAAAUGUGGGGUUGGGGUGCCCACACGGAGUCCUCACUGGGGCACUCCCUAGUGGAGCUGUGGGAAGAGGGCCACCAUUCUUCACAUUCCAGAAUGGUAGGGGCACUGACAGCUUGCACUAUGUGCCUGGAAAAGCCACAGGCACUCAACACUUGCCCAUGAGAACAGCCACAGAGAGGGGGAGCUUCCCAAGGUCUUUGAAGUGCACCCCUUGCAUCAGCAUGCUCUGGAUGUGAGACAUAAAGUCAAAGGAGAAUAUUUUGGGGCUUUCUUAACAACAGCCCUGCUGGAUUUUGGACUUGCAUGGGGCCUCUAGCCUCUUUCUCUUGGCCAAUUUCUCUCUUUUGGAAUGGCAGUAUCUACCCAAUGCCUGUAUCCCCAUUGAAUUAUGGAAGUAACUAAUUUGUUUUUUAUUUUAUAGACUCAUAGGCAGAAGGGACUGGUGUUUUUUCACAUGAAACUUUGGACGUUUGAGUUAAUGCUGAAAUUAGUUAAGACUUAGGGGAAUGUUGAGAAGGUAUAAUUGUAUUUUGCAACAUGAGAAGGACAUAAGAUUUGGUAUGAACCAGGAACAGAAUGAUAUGGUUUGGAUUUGUGUCUCCACUCAAAUCUCCUGUUGAAUUGUAAUCCCCAAUGUUCGAGGUGGGACCUGGUAGGAGGUGAUUGGAUGAUGGGGGCAGAUUGCUCCUUUGGUGCUGUUCUCAUCAUAGAGUUCUCAUGAGAUCUGGUUGUUUAAAAGUGUGUAGCAUCUUGUUCCUGCUCCAGUCUUGUAACAUGUGCUUGUUCUCACUUUGCCUUUUGUCAUGAUUUUGAGUUUCCAGAGGCUUCUCCAAAAGCAAGUCAUGCCAUGAUUCCUGUACAGCUUGCAGAAUUGUGAGCCAAUUAAUCCUCUUUUCUUUAUAAAUUACCCAGUCUCAGGUAUUUCUUUAUAGCAGUGUGAGAACAGACUAAUACAACAUCUCACACUAUCCUUUAACAUGCCAUUUAGAAACAUUCUGUGAAACAAAACCAUGAGAAAUACCAACAGAUAUUCAUGAGGUUUAGCAAAGUGAUAGACUCUUAUAGACUUUAUUUUUACUCUGUAAAGAAUUUAAGUCUAACUAAAGUCUUUAGGAGACCUACUAG